rnacentral:rRNA from 1 species
CCUACGGGUGGCAGCAGUGGGGGAUAUUGGACAAUGGGGGAAACCCUGAUCCAGCGACGCCGCGUGAGUGAAGAAGUAUUUCGGUAUGUAAAGCUCUGUCAGCAGGGAAGAAAGAAAUGACGGUACCUGACCAAGAAGCUGCGGCUAACUACGGGCCAGCAGCCGCGGUAAUACGUAGGGGGCAAGCGUUAGCCGGAAUUACUGGGUGUAAAGGGGGCGUAGGCGGUUAAGUAAGUCUGGAGUGAAAGGCCGGGGCUCAACCCCGGGACUGCUUUGGAUACUGUUGAACUUGAGUGCAGGAGAGGUAAGUGGAAUUCCUAGUGUAGCGGUGAAAUGCGUAGAUAUUAGGAGGAACACCAGUGGCGAAGGCGGCUUACUGGACUGUAACUGACGUUGAGGCUCGAAAGCGUGGGGAGCAAACAGGAUUAGAUACCCUUGUAGUC